GACUCUCGGCAACGGAUAUCUCGGCUCACGCAUCGAUGAAGAACGUAGCAAAAUGCGAUACUUGGUGUGAAUUGCAGAAUCCCGUGAACCAUCGAGUUUUUGAACGCAAGUUGCGCCCAAAGCCAUUUGGUUGAGGGCACGUCUGCCUGGGCGUCACAC
rnacentral:rRNA from 3 species